AGUCUGCUAACCACAGUGUCCACAACACAUCAAAAGGCCUGAAGGGAUCAGCUGCGACAGCUUAUAGAAAGCAAUCUGAGACAUGAUUAAUCGUUUUCAAACCAAAUCAUAUGCCAUAAUCACAUCGCAAGUCUGUUAUAUAUAAGUGUUAAUGGGGCCAUAGUUGAAGAUACUCAAAUCAUUCUGAAGACUUUCAUCUUGUCUCUGAGAGGCACUCAUUCAACAUUUUAGGGAACAACCAAAGCCUCUGUUCACUGAAGCCCACUGACUGUCUUCCCAGAAAACACUUCAUCGUGCUCAGUUCCUGGUGUGUGGGAGGUGACCGAGACCCUCCAUGAAUGAGGGCACUUACUGAAUUUUGUGGACAGAACUUUUUCUAAAAUCCACUCCCACUCAUCAGCCUCUACUAACACCCAAGGAAGGGAUACAGAACAAGGACUGAGAACAAACCAAGCUCUCCUCUGGCAAGCAAACCAAAGUAAAACUGUGGUCAUUACUGGUGCAUAGGGUGCCCUUACAGGAAACUUGAGGAGGAAAAUUGAAUAAUUGAAGCCACCAUUUACUUGGCAUCAACUCUUUGCCAGGAAACAGGGGGAAAAGACAGGCACCGCUCUCAGCUAUCUGGACGUUGCUCCGACCCAGUGUGUAAAACCUCUUGGGCACUCAACAAAAGGACAGCUCAAGAAUGUUUCCUUCCUGAGGACUAAGGCUUUGUUUCUGUGAGGAAGCAUGUCCAGGCAAGGCACCAUGCCAGAGCAAGGUGGUUAACAUCUCAGAAUUCUCACUCAGCAGCGAGGAGCUCAUAGAAGGCAUAUGUAGCACCAAGUUGAUUGACUCUAAAAAUGAAGUCAGACGUUUUCUCUCAGAAAUUUAAUCUCUUUGGCUGAUAGGUUUGAUUGAAGACUGGAGUUUUCCACUAAUUGAAUGAACAAACUCUGCCGAUUUCAAUCAAAAUAUAUUUAAAGGAUUAUAAAACGUAAUACACGGGAAACCAUAUCUUUUGCAGUUAUUAGAAUUAUGAUAAAAAUUUCAGAUGUCAACCUAAAAACUCAUAAAGACCCCACUGGUUUCACAAUUUUUCCGUGGGGUAAAUGAACCAAACAGUUCUCGCUGUUCAGUCUCCAGUCCCCACUUGUCCAUGCUCUCUCUUUUUAGAUUUCCUCUUUCAGUCUCAGCAGCGGUUCCUCAAAGCUUG